GUUGUAUGCAAUCAUCCAAUUCAAUGAAAUUAGGAAAAUCUGAGGAUUAAGUUAAGCGUACCUAAUUAAUCUGGGGUGUUGAGGUUCAUGGUUUAUUGAAAAGCAACUGGAAAUCAUUUUAUGUGCAAGUGUGUCAUGUGUGGAGAAGAACCCUCUAGCUAGCCCAUCAUCCAUAGUUUAACCCAUCACCCAUCAAUUCACCUAAAUUUGUCUAAGAAUCUGUUUAAAUUAUUCUUGCUUUGUUUUCCUUAUUUUCGUCCAAAACCAAAAUCCCCUUUAUUUUAUUAAAGUCAUAUUAGUUAGUACUUGUUUUAGAUUAUGUUUUUAAGUGUUUUAAAUCAAGAUAACAUCAAUUUUCAUCCAAACUUUGUGUUAGUGGCAGAAACUGCCUUAGAGUUGUUUUUAGGCAGUUUUGAGUCUCUAUAAUUUGUUUUGAGUUUUGUGGCUUUGUUUUGAGUCUUGUAAGUUUAAUUUCAUGC
rnacentral:lncRNA from 1 species